rnacentral:lncRNA from 1 species
UUUUUUUUUUAAUUUUAAACCAAAGUUUCUGUUUCUGAUUUUUUUUUUUUUUUUUUUAGUUGCUGCUGCUUUGGAAACCUGAACAUGUCUCAUGACAGGUCCAUCCUCACAUUUUCACAUUUUUGAGUGAAAAUUGUGAAAAAAGAUUCUGAGAAUUAAAAAAAAAAAAUUAGAGAGAUGGAAUACAUCUACCCAUACUCCAUACUCAACUGCAGAAGUAGCCAGAUUUUCUAUCAUAACAUAGCUUUGGAGUUUAGGAUAGUUGUAGCAUGAUCUUUGCUAUCUCAGAGUUUGGAUUAGGAGACCAGGCUGUUUCAGAGACUCUACACCCUCAUUAAAUAGGGAGUCCCUCAAGAUUUCACUUACUUCCACCAGAUUCUGAGCAAAUAGGAAUCUGCCUAGAAGAGGAAAUCUUUCUGAGCACAUAGAACAAAUUAACCUUCAUCUUUCGUUUUUGCAUUGGCCACAUGAAGCCUUUAUAGCCAUUUAUCCCAGAGGUUCUAAAGAGAUGUAUGAUCAUUGGAUCUCAUGUUCUUCCAUAGGGAGGUAAUAUACUUUUCAGUUUGUUAGGUCUGCCAUUUAAAGGAAAGUUCCAUUAUUCAGUUAUGAUUUCUACACACUGCCUGUGUUAUUUUUAUUUAGUCUUUAUCCUGUUAUGACUUCCCUUACCUAACAAAAUAAGUUCUAAAGCCUUGAUUGACAGUUCAGUCUUAAAAAAAAAAAAAUUAUUUGGAGGUAAGGGACCAAUCUUAAUUAUCUACUAACAAAUAAUAGAAAAUAGUACCAAUGUAAACAACAAUGUGCUUUCUAUAAUUCUAAGGUCCAAAUCAAGAUUUUGAAGUGUCCAUCUCUACCUUUGUUGGCUUUAUUGGCAGAAGUCACACUGAGCAUUUAUAGUUAGCUAUCAACUAUCCUCUUCCUGGCUAGCCUUGCUGUACAUAGUCAACACCAGUAAUUGCAUUGAAGUAAAAUACUUCUCUUGCUCUCAGCCUUAAUUUUAGACUAAGGCACAAAUUAAUAGAGGCAGCUGUAAUCACUAAUUCAAUCUUUAAGAACAUGGCUACUGUAUCUGUCAUAUGGCCUCCUUGUUUAGUGCUUCUUCCCUGUAUCCAAAAUAUGAUCAUACAGGUGGAUCACAUAAAGAAGUUACUAUUAAUACUAUUGUGUCAAGGAGUAAACAUGUGAAAAAUAGUUGUUUUUUAAAAAAGCUUUUCUGUUUAAUAUGGGUAAUCUUCCCUAAAUUUGUUCCCCUUAUAAAUCUAGGGGGGAAAAACUUUUGGAUCAUUACCUUAUUUUGUGGCUUUUAUUCCUUUUUUUGUGUGUGUGUUUUGCCAAAUAUUUUUCUUUGCCAGAAAAAUGGAGGGGAGGGGAAGUAUUUUAAUUAGGUUUCCUUUAAUUUUAGUUUUUAGAACUGAGUCUUUUUAAGUAAUCAGUGGUAGUAAUUUAGUGGCUCUUGGUAGAUUAAGGGUUUUAGAGUUCAUACUUGGACUUAACAAACUAUUUUGUUGUACACUCUAGAGCCAUAGGAAUAAACUACUGGUCUGCCAAGAAACAUGAGUUACUAUAAUUGAAUUAUUAAUAUCAGUUGAUGGGUUGGUUAUUUUCUGUACAAAUGGAAUAAAUAGUACUCUGUGUUCCCAAAAUCAGUUUAAAAUGAAACUAACAUCCAUUUUCCUUCUGGAUUUCUGUAAAAUGUAUUACCAUAAAAUCCUGCAAUUGGCCUACAGUAUGUAGGAAUCCUGAUGGUCUGUUUGUUUUUCCCUCAAUGUACUCCACUGCCAAUUUGGUCUUUGUUCAAAUUUUAGAACCUUAGUCCCUAAUAAGGAUUAUUUCUCUUAGGAGAUAAAAAUAUUUAAAUUUUAAUUAUCCAGGACACAUUUGUCCCAGUUAGCAGAAUCCAUUUUAGAAUAAAAAGACUUUUAACUACCACAUUAGAUAUGUAAUAUUUAUUUAAAUUUAUUAUUUUGUGCUCCUGUUAAGGCAAAAAGGAGCAAAGAGCUUUUUCUCAUACUAAUCAAACUACAUGAAUUUAUAUUUCUCUUUUAAUAAGAAAAGUAUGGACUGUGCUAUUCUUUCAACUAACAUAUACAAUUUUGCCAAGUGAUCAGAAUUUCUCUGAUUUCUUGCUCCAUUGACCAGACCCAAGAAAGCUUGCCCAAUGCUGAGCCCUAUUUUGUGAUUUUUUUCAGGGAGUUUUCCCUGAAGCUCUCAACAAACAAAUUAUCUAUUUAAGGAAAUGUACAUUAGUUAGUCAUAUAAUCAAAAAAUUAAAAGGAUAAACAACCCAGCCCCUGGUAAAAUUCACAUGUUUAGAUAAUCUAGUAUUGUUCUUGCUUCAGAAAAAAAAUCAAUUAAAAUGUCCCUUGGAUAAAGGAAUUAAGAUACCUUAAAUAUUAAGAAUUCAAAAUAUUUGUUUUUACUUUUAUGGUUAGGUGGCAUAGAAAAGCUGGUAAUGUAGAAAGAGAUUAGGAAGCUAAGAAAAAUUUUCUAUGUAUGAAUAAGUUUGUGUAUUUGUGUCAAGUGAGUGACUUGACAAAUGGUUUCAUAUCUUACUGUAAUCAAAGAUGAAAUUGCUUUUAGUAAAAUCCUCUAUUAGAAUGUGGAGAAGUCAAAAUCCCAUUCCUCAAUCUAUCCUUAUACUGUUUUUCCAUAUUAUCAUUUGAUCCUUUUAGCAUUCCACCACUAAAUUCCCAUUUUCAAAAUAUGUAGUCUUGGAGAAGAUGAAGCCAAUGGCCUCAACAGCACUUUUAUAAGAGAUCCUAAUUCCCAAGAUUAAUGAUGAUAGUACUUCCCCAGUUCUUCCCACUCCCACCCCUAGUCUGUUUAAUCUCAUUAAUAUAAGGAAAGUUCUGAAGACAAUAACUCUAACCUCCUCCUUUGAGAUAGCUUGCAAUUUACACCCACCCAUAAUUCUUCUACAAUUCUAAUUACAAUCAGAACAUCUGGAUAAAAAAUUAUCUCUAUCUAUAGACAAAAUAACGUGAGGCAAUACUAGAGAAAAGUGAACCAUUAUUGCUAUUUGUUGAAGAGAAAUGCAUUGUGAGUAGCAAGAGCAAAAAAACAAAGCAUAUAAGAUAUUAACCAGUCUGAUACUCUAUAGAAGUAGGACAGCUAGGAACCUGCUUGUUUUUAGCUCCUGUUUUUGAAUUUUUCCCCCAGUAGUUCAUACAUUAGUAAUGGACAAUUCCUUUUAUUUUCCUGUUCAUUUCUCUGUUGUAGUCACUUGUUUAGAGUGAGUUCAUUAUGCCCAAAUGUAUUUUAGAAAUGAAUGACUAAAGGAAUUUCUCCUCUUUCUACUAGCCCUACCAAAAACAAGAAAACAAAAAACUUAAGCUGUUGGCAGGAAAACAAUUUGUUUUUCAGAAGAAUAUUCAAAUACUUAAAUACAUUUUUCUUCCUAUUGAGUCCAUGCCUUUUACAGAACCUGAUAUGUUGACAUUGAUUAAAUUGACUCCAGAGGUACUUCACAUGAAAGCUUCAAGCCUGAGACUCCCUGGAAAUUCCCUACUUUGGUUAUGCUUCAUUUGGUGGAAACAAAUUCUGAUUAAACAACAUUGCUCUGAAUUGCUGCCACUCAAAUCACAAUUUUUUAAAACUCAAUUAUAAUCUUGAAUGUUAACAAUUCAGGUAAAAGUGAAUACUCUACAUUAGUGAUUUGCCCUACUCCAUUCUCACUAUUUCUGUUGAAAAUUUUAUAUAAACCUAAUGUCACUAAAAGAUAACCAUUCCUCUAAAAAUCAACAACACUGAAAUAUCUUUUAAAAAGUUGGGAAGAUUGGGAUAACAGAAAAUCAGGUUCACUCUUCUUUUGAUCAGUUUGUCUUAUUGUUCCUCUGUAGAGGAUCUAGACUUAUUAUUGAUCAUAUGUGUGACCUGUUUAACUAAAUCAAAGAAAAAUUGAAUUACAGAAUCUUGAACAUUACUUAAAAAAAAAAAAAAGCCCUCCGUCCAGACAACAUCCUUACUAGUCUAAAAACCACUUUAGAUUCUUUACUGAUCUUAGUCUCCUAAUUUUAUACAUUUUAUUAUAAAUCUCUAUAAAAUUAAGUUAUUGUGGUAUCUGGGUGUAGGAUGUGGAGAUAAAUGGGGGCUUGAGAAAAUAAAUAAUGUUAACUUGGAAGUUGCAAGCCAGUAUGUAACCAGCAUUUAUUCACCCUCUGCUAAUAAAGUAAGAAAGAAAAAGCAUGUUUUUGGAAGAGCUUGAUGUGGAUAUCACCAGCCUUCCUUUAUUUUGUUUUGUUUUUUAAGACAAAUUUGACCAGGAAGAGGAUACCCAUUAAUUGGUUGCCCUUCUUGAAUGUUUUGGUAGUACAGAGGAAAACAAUCAUCUCCUGAAGAACAACCCUCCUGAAUUAAUUUGCUUAGUAGGCAUGAGGAACAGAAUGAGGAUUUGUCCUGAAAUAAGAGGAAUUAUUAUACUAACUUUAAGCUGGAACUUGUUUCAUCAUUGCAAUUUUUAAAAAAUCAAUCUUGUUCUGCUUUGUGGUGCCAUCAACUUAAUGAGGACAAUCAAAAAACCCAUUGUUUGCCUUGGACUCUCAAUGUGUCUGGUAAUCACAUAGACAACUUGUAUACAUUUAAACCAGUUACUUGACUGUAACAUAACCCAUGCAACCUUAGUUCUUCCUAUUCUCUUUUCCCUGCACCACCACAAGUUUAACGAGAACUGUAGCACCAAGAGAAAGGUGUAGACUUUUAAGGGCAAGGAUGAUGAUAUAAUAUUCUUUUCUUAUUAUCCUUGGAGCCCAAAGUCUGACCUUCUUUCCUUGUGCCCAGUAGCAAUACCAGCAUGGUGGGAGUAAGGGGGAAGACUAUAGGAAUUCCUAGGAACACAACUAGAUGGUGACAAUGUUAUUCUUUUGAGUUUGUAAAAUGAAUUGUGAGCCCUUUAGCAAGGACAGCAAAGCACCUCAGCUUUUAAAACAUUAUGUGAUGAUUAACUUUCUUGCUCUUUCCUGAUUUAGCACAGAGGUUUGUAUCAAUGAACAGUAUUUGGAAGGGGUAUGAGGUGAAAAAUGUAUUUGUCUUCGAGCCUCUCCUCCACUAUUCCCUUUCUCUUCACCCUUCCCAUGCUGUGUUGGUCUAAAUGAUGAUGAUUCUCUGAAGCCCUAAACUGUAGUUGUCAAAAGUAACUAUAAAAUGUGAUUAGUCCUCCGCGGGUGCUUCUUUCUUUCUUUUCUCUUCUUUCUCUUUCUCACUUUCUCUCCACUCUUGGUUCAGUGGAAAUAGUGAGGACAAAGAAUUGCCGCUUGCUUGGACUCAUGCUGUAACUGUGACUGCGCUAUUAGCUGUCUCCUUUUUCCUUCUCAAAUGGAUAGAAUUCUGUUGAAGUGUGGAGUAACCUUCUUGAGAAGUAGGUUUAAAAUGCACAAUGUGGUACUGUUUCAUAGUUUCUAGAUGGUUGUAUAAAGCAAAAAGUUAAUGUGGUUAUGUGUUUUUAAAAGAAAAUAAGUGAUUGGUUACAAAACUGUUUUUCCCCCCAUUAUUAUAAGCUCUCUUUGUUUUCCAACGGUUUUUAGACUCUUUUGUCACUGCUGAAUGGUGUCUGUUGCUUUUUAUCUGUGUUUCCUAAAUUUUUGAAUGUGAUUGCUCUUGAGUCUACCUGGGAAUAGAGCAGACGUUUCAAGGGGAAAAGGUUUUGAAGCUUUGUCUUAAGUCUAUCCUGUGUAAAAUCUAUAUGCGUAUUAGUAAAAAAAAAAAAAAAAAAAAAAAAAAAUUAAAACUAUUUUCCUCAGAAUGUAAUAGAUAAACCCACAUUCCCAGUCAAUCACCUUUGCCACUGUAGGGACCAGGGACCACAACCUGCAGCUUCUGGGGCUGGGGUGCCAGCUGUAAGCCUUCCUGUACUCUUAAGGUCUCCAAAGCUGACACCCUGGGACACAGAUUCUGGCUCUACCUGGGCUCUCCUCCACCUCUCCAGGUCAAAAAGUGUGAAGGAUCUUACUUAUUCCAUUGCCUGCACAACAGGCCUCCCAACCCCCACUCCCCAAAAAGCAAAAAAGCCAAUAAUCCACUCUAUUCCUACAGGCCACUGAAAUCCCGACUUCUACAGCUGAAGCCAACAUUGCAGUCGUUGCAAGUAUUAUCACAGUGGUCUUCGUCACCUUCCUCUCAGUCCUGAUCAUGAUCAUUUAUCUAUCAAAGAACAAAGGCAGCUAAAUCACCUGAGAGCCCCCAGAGAGAGAAGCCAUGACUCUGCAAAUGGAGAGUGCCUCAGUCCAAGGGAAGAGAAGAAAGAAAAGUAUUUCAUCUGACCUCUAAGAACUCCUCUGACCUCUAAGGGCAAGAUACGGGAACUGAGUGCUUAAUUUAUUAGAUGAAAGAUGCAUCUAAAGCUAGAGAUGAGUGUGUGCUGUCUCUGAGGCAGAAUCCAGGGAAUCUUCUCACCUUAGUGCCAGCAUCAAAGAAGAAACUCUCCAUUACACAGGAUGUUGACUCUCAUUUAUAGGAAGCAGAGAACAAAAGCACCAAAUUAUCCACAUUUGGGAUUUAUCUGUCCCAAAUCUGAACAGAUCUAGG